rnacentral:rRNA from 1 species
AUUGAACGCUGGCGGCAUGCCUUACACAUGCAAGUCGAACGGCAGCACGGGAGCAAUCCUGGUGGCGAGUGGCGAACGGGUGAGUAAUAUAUCGGAACGUGCCCAGUCGUGGGGGAUAACGCAGCGAAAGCUGUGCUAAUACCGCAUACGAUCUAUGGAUGAAAGCGGGGGAUCGCAAGACCUCGCGCGAUUGGAGCGGCCGAUAUCAGAUUAGCUAGUUGGUGGGGUAAAGGCCCACCAAGGCGACGAUCUGUAGCUGGUCUGAGAGGACGACCAGCCACACUGGAACUGAGACACGGUCCAGACUCCUACGGGAGGCAGCAGUGGGGAAUUUUGGACAAUGGGCGCAAGCCUGAUCCAGCAAUGCCGCGUGCAGGAUGAAGGCCUUCGGGUUGUAAACUGCUUUUGUACGGAACGAAACGGCCCUUUCUAAUACAGGGGGCUAAUGACGGUACCGUAAGAAUAAGCACCGGCUAACUACGUGCCAGCAGCCGCAGUAACAC